UUCACAUGAAAACCAUCAAAUUCAUAGCAGAUAUUAAAAGUGCAAAUAUCUUACUAGAUGGAGACUUUACAGCCAAAAUAUCUGACUUUGGGCUUGCACGGGCUUCUGAGAAGUUUUCCCAGACAGUCAUGACUAGCAGAAUUGUGGGAACAACAGCUUAUAUGGCACCUGAGGCUUUGCGAGGAGAAAUAACACCCAAAUCUGACAUUUACAGCUUUGGUGUGGUUUUACUAGAAAUAA